AUUGAACGCUGGCGGCAUGCUUUACACAUGCAAGUCGAACGGUAACAGGCCGCAAGGUGCUGACGAGUGGCGAACGGGUGAGUAAUGCAUCGGAACGUGCCCAGUCGUGGGGGAUAACGCAGCGAAAGCUGCGCUAAUACCGCAUACGAUCUAUGGAUGAAAGCGGGGGACCGUAGGGCCUCGCGCGAUUGGAGCAGCCGAUGUCAGAUUAGGUAGUUGGUGAGGUAAAGGCUCACCAAGCCAACGAUCUGUAGCUGGUCUGAGAGGACGACCAGCCACACUGGGACUGAGACACGGCCCAGACUACUACGGGAGGCAGCAGUGGGGAAUUUUGGACAAUGGGCGCAAGCCUGAUCCAGCAAUGCCGCGUGCAGGAAGAAGGCCUUCGGGUUGUAAACUGCGUUUGUACGGAACGAAACGGCUCUCACUAAUACUGGGGGCUAAUGACGGUACCGUAAGAAUAAGCACCGGCUAACUACGUGCCAGCCGCCGCAGUAAGAC
rnacentral:rRNA from 1 species